AAUGCCUUAGUGCUUUACAAUUGUGCAAUAAAUUUCUUUGGAUCUGAAGCCUUUCCCAUAAUUUCCUUUUCCUUUCCUUGAUAACUACAAAACCCUCUCUCUCUCUCUCUCUUUCUGUCUCAAAGUAACAAAAAAGUUUGGUAGAGAGAGAAAGAUUAUGGUUCACCCUAAACUUUUCUCAACUCUUCUUCUCCUUUCAUGUUUUCUUCUUCUUUCUUUCACUCAUGGAUUAAAAGUGGAAAUGAUUGAAUCUUUGGGACAUGGAAGCAAUGUUAGAAUUAGUCCAUCACUCAAGGGAAUUGGUGGAAAAUCAAGAAAAAUGAUGAUUGAAAUAAUGGAUUAUGCAGAUCCAGGGCCAAAUACUAAUACAAGAAGUGGGUAUCUUAAUCCUCCUCCUCCUCCUUCACCAGCUACUUAAUUAAUUUGUAAUAGUUUUUCUUUUCUUUUUCUAAUAAAAAGACCACAGCUAAUAAUAUAUAUUGUUUAAUUUCUGUGAGGUUUUUCAUAUCUAAGAUAUAUUAUGAAUAUUAUUUUUCUUUUAACUUAUUUAUUCCAAGUGUAAUUCAUGCAUGGUGGUGAGAUAAAUUGGAGGUUUUGUUGUCUUUUACUCA